UACGUAGGGGGCAAGCGUUGUCCGGAAUCAUUGGGCGUAAAGAGCGCGUAGGCGGCCCUGUAAGUCCGCUGUGAAAGUCAAGGGCUCAACCCUUGAAUGCCGGUGGAUACUGCAGGGCUAGAGUCCGGAAGAGGCGGGUGGAAUUCCUGGUGUAGCGGUGAAAUGCGCAGAUAUCAGGAAGAACACCUAUGGCGAAGGCAGCUCUCUGGGACGGUACUGACGCUGAGACGCGAAAGCGUGGGGAGCGAACAGG
rnacentral:rRNA from 1 species